rnacentral:tRNA from 3 species
AGGGGUGUAGUGAAAUGGUAUCACGAAGGUCUCCAAAACCUUUAUUCUGGGUUCGAGCCCCAGCGCCCCUGCCA